rnacentral:rRNA from 1 species
UACGUAGGUGACGAGCGUUGUCCGGAUUUACUGGGCGUAAAGAGCGCGCAGGCGGUCGUUCAAGUCGAGUGUGAAAGCCCCCUGCUCAACUGGGGAGGGUCACUCGAUACUGAUCGACUCGAAGGCAGGAGAGGGUAGUGGAAUUCCCGGUGUAGUGGUGAAAUGCGUAGAUAUCGGGAGGAACACCAGUGGCGAAGGCGACUACCUGGCCUGUUCUUGACGCUGAGGCGCGAAAGCUAGGGGAGCAAACGGG